rnacentral:lncRNA from 1 species
GCUAAACCUAUUUCUCUUCUACUUUUACUUACUAAUCCUUAGCAAUCUAGGGCUAUAUGUUUGAAAGUUUCUAUUCUUAUUUAUAAUAAAUCUUAGAGUAUAUGAAAAUGAUUAUGAAUCCAACUUGAGUCUUCUUUUUUGCCAAACUAAAAGGGUAAACCCCUAAUUUUUCAAACCACAUGCACAUGACAUGAUUUACAGACCUUCCCCCAUCCACAUCUCUGAACUUAUGACAAUGUGUGUUUGUCAGUACCUCUUAAAAUAUAGUGUUCAGAACUGAACUGACUACUUCAGAUGUGGUCUGAUCAUUGCUGAAUACAAUGGAGCUAUUAUCUAGGUACUGUACUUCUAUUAAUGCAGUCUGAAAUUUGCAUUACAUUUUUUUGGCAGUAAUAUUACCCUUUGAUCACAUUGAGCCCAUGGUCAACUAAAACCUAGUCUCUUGUUCACGUGAAAUGCUUUAAUCUAAUCUUUCUCAUUCUUUACUUGCCAGUUGAUGGUUUGAAAGUAAGUGCAGGAUAUUAUGUGUAGCGUUACUAUAAAAGUUUAAAUGAGUUUAUCAAAUUUCAUCCCAUUUGACUAUCUGGAGAUAUCACUAACAUUUGUAUAAAACAGCAUAGUUUCCAUGGUGCUUUCACAUCAGUUUUUUGUUGUUGUGGUUUUUAAUCUUUACAACGACCAUCUGGGAAUCAGAAGAGAAAAAUGACUUUCCACCAAGUCAGGAAUUAGCAAAUGUAGUACUUUAUCACAGGUUCUUUGACUCCAGAUUCCAUGGUCACUCCAUCACUGUUCAUGUAUUCAGUACACAUUUAGUGUGUUUGUUACUAUGUGGUAGGCACCGUGUGUGGCUGGUGCAUCAGUGAGCAGUCUCGUGGUCUUUGGCCUGAC